AAAAAAAACUAUACUCGUCGUCGACCUGUUCGUCUUCGACCCCCUCCGACGAGCCUCCUGCCCGGAACCAUCGCAAAUGCGACGGCGGCCGGCCGCAGCCUCCCCUCCGCCGCCUCAUCCCUCCCCCGGCAACACUUAUAAACAAAAAGUUCUCGCCGGAUUCCUGCUCCGAUGCCUCCUCUUGGCGCGGAGACGGCGAGGGCGCAGAUCGAUCACCGGCGACCGGAGACGGGGGAUGAGGAUAUGGAGCUAGCGCGCGCAGGAGGCGAGCGGGAUACGCUCCCGUCCUUCCAUCGCCGUGUGGAGACGCGCUCGCGGCGGUGUGAGGCGCCGGCGUCCACACGGGUAAGAGGAACUGUGCAUCCUGCAGUACAUUGCAUCUCUUCAGUCCCACAUCGGUAGUUGAGUGCGAUUUUCACGGAUUUAUAACUGUAGGCUUCAGCAGGAGUGUCAUCAAGUAGGAAUACAGGGAGAUAGUGGUAUAGGUGUAGGAAUACUUUUUUUUCCUCCAUAGAUUCAGUCUGGUUUUUGCCACCAAAGGUUGAUCGAAAAGCAGUACUUUCUCUGUCCCAAAAUAAAUGUCG
rnacentral:lncRNA from 1 species